rnacentral:rRNA from 1 species
GUCUACAGCAUGCACUGAUGUGCCCCUGAUGUGCCCAUCUCCUCUGAUCUCAGAAACUAAGCAGAGUCAGACUGCUUAGUACUUGGAUGAGAGACCACCUUGGAAUACCAGGUACUGUAGGCA